GCCACAGCAACCAGUCCCUUCCCUGCUCCUCACGCCGAGAACCAACAAGAAUCCCGACGGCGCGCCUCUACUGGAUGAACACGCAUGGUGGAUGCGAGGAAUCGCUGAACGUGGGGUGAUGGGGCCGUUGCUGCAGAUGGAGAACGUGCGAGCGACGUGAUCUGCGGUUUCUGCUUCCGUUGCUACUGAAAACAUGUUGUGGGCUAGGGUUAAUUUUGGGCCAAUUGGGCCAAAUGUAUUUGGGAUGUUGGUUUUUAGCCAGGCCAAAAUUGGCCUAUUACAGCUGCCCCUCUUUGCUCGUUAUCGUGUAACGAGAACAGAGCAAAGACUUUAGAAAUGACCAAUUUUGCUUGGUCGUGCUGGGCUUCGGGGCUCUUCUCCUUAAAGUAGCGUCAUUCCAUCCUACUACAUCUUCUGAGGUAUAGGAACUGGGGCUUCAAUCCACUCCACUGCAACAUCAGGGAGAUAGGAGUUGUAUCUUGUAGCUUCUCAAAAGAAUAAAAUUUUCUAUCUCCAGUCUACUCUACUGCAACUUCGGGAAGAUAAGACUUGUAGCUUCAAUCUGCCCCACUGCAACUUCAGGGGGAUAAGAUUUGUUUUUUUAGUCUGCUCCUCUGCAACUUCAAGGAGAUAAGACUAAAUGCGAUUUGCCCUCUGCAACUUCAGAGAAAUAAGAUUUGUGAUUUUAAUCCACUCCACCGCAACUUCAGGAAGAUAGGACUAUUGGCUUUAAUCUGCUCCACUGCAACUUCAGGGAGAUAAGAUUCACCAUCUUCAAUCUGCCCCACUGCAACUUCAG